UUUCAUACAUUUUCUUUGUUAUAAUAUUAUCAUUAUAAUGUUUUAUAAAUAUUAAAAUAAUACUUGUGGAUUAUGUUCCAGAGCUUCUGAAGUCGUAUGAUAUAUUUGUGUGAGGACAGACCCAAAUUUAUGUUGUUGUUCAUUGAAAAUCUUCCCCUCCGCUUUAGAAAUGAAUAAUAAUAAAAGCAUAUGACUAUAGAGGGUGAGUAAAUAAUGACAUUUUUCAUUUUGGCCGGACUAUUCCUUUACCUGUAGAUGUUUUAUGAUUUUUCAAUGCGUUUCAGUUUGGUUUUGUCAUCUACUAACAUGUGCAUCCAGCCUCUGGGAUCAGGUGCAUAUUCUUAAAGCGUUUCAGAGUCAUCGAGUAGCUAACGUAACCUCUCUGAAAUGCUUUAUGAAUAUAGGACAAUGUGAUUGAUAUCAGUCUUGCACUUUAUUAGCAUGUCCGUCUGAUAGAUAGCUGUUUGAAAACAUGGACACCAGGAAAUGCUUUUAAUUUUCAGAAACAUCAGAAAGGUAUCAGGCUGUUUUGCAUGGGCAGUGAGGACAUUGCCUUAUUUGUGUGUGUGAUCAGGACGAGGUUAUAGGGAAUAUCUGGUCUCCCAAACCUUUAAUGAUCGCAAAAAAAAUUGCAUAUGAUCUGAUCUGAUGAUGAGGGAAAAACAGAUGCAUCUGUAAUGACCAAUAUGUUUGAAAGGAAUAGUUCACCUUAUAUGAAAAAAAGCCAUUCAUGUCAUUUUUUAAAAAAGAUUUAUUCAGAACUAAAUUUCGUUUUGAUUUUUUUUAACUUCCUGGAUUGAGUCCAUGCAGCUCAUUUAUAAAGCAUCAGAUCUCCAGAUGAGACCAGAUAACCCCUUUAGUCUGUGUAAUUAUAAGAAAGCUUGAAUUCUGCGCUAAUAGGACCGAUUUUAAUCAUGCAAAGGUAAAUGUUUUCUCAUGUUGACUUAAAUGUAUUUCACUUGGAUGUAUGGGACCACAGAGAUGUGAAGUAAAUGGGUAAAGCUCAUGUAAAGAGCGUGUCUGGGUCAAAUCUUAACCCCAAAAUCAAGAGAAAAACAACAACAUAAUAGCAUUUUUUUCUACUUGUAUGCUAAAUUAAAUACAAAUCAUUGUAUUGCAGUAAAUAUCGGAAAUUGAAUUGGAAUUAUUGGAAUUAAAAAUAGCACCUACACUAAAAAAAUUUGGUGUAAAAACAAUUUCCACUCUCUUCACCGAACCGGUGAAGUAGAAAGAUUAUCAAUACUCUGGUAAUUGAUGUUUUAUUUACAUCUUUCAAAAAAAUACAAAUUUCCACUGUAUUGAUACUUCAACAUUUCACAUUUACUUCAAUGUGUUAUUUUCAUCAUUUUUUGCAAAUAUGUGCAAUUUACUUGCGAAAUCUGAGUGGAAAUAAUUUCUACACCAACUUUUUGUAGUAUAAAAAUCAACGAAACAAUAUUUAUUGCUACACGCUGAUUUGUAUUUAAAAUUUUACUACUGAUGUAUAAAAUAAAUGUAAAAAUACACAAGUCAACGUCACAAUGCAAGACUCAAAAUAUAAUUAAUUAUUUGAAUUUCUUUCGUUUUUGGAGUGAAAUUUGACCUGAGCAUGUAUCUUUUUUUUGAGACUCAGCCAUAUGAAUUCUAAACAUAGACUAUAUUAGAUUCAGUAUGCCAAUUAUGUGUACCAAAAUCAUGUUUGAUAACUUUAUGGAUAAGUUAUCAUGCCAAUUUAUCCACAACAUGCAGUAUGAGUUUCGUUUGAAAAGGACAGCUACGAGGAGAUUACAAAUGAUCUAUAUGUGUGUGUAUGUAUGAUUAUGGUUGAUGAUUUUUCUGGUUUAUACUCAAAGCAAUGCAUCAGAUAUGUUUGCCGUUGCCAAUAACCAAUAGUCUCGUCUUGGCGACUUCAUAGUGAUGGUACUGUUCACAUGCGGUCAAUGCAAAUAUACACUAAUACCCACUAAUUGUCUUAACAGUCGCUGUCAGACCUCACUGAAAGCGUGUACUAGGCUGGCAUCCUUUACUCGUUACCAAAACGUGACAAAAAGCUGGAAUCGACAAGGCGAGUCGUUUUGGAAAUGCGCUGUUUUGUGUUUGUGCGUAAUGUAAAUCGAAUCAAAUUACGCUUAUUCGGGUCACUAUUCCACUAACCUGUGAUGGAUGAUGUCAUAUCCAGCUUUGCAUGUGAUUGGCCAGAGGUUUCCAGAGGAAC